GUGGGGAAUAUUGGACAAUGGGCGAAAGCCUGAUCCAGCCAUGCCGCGUGUGUGAAGAAGGUCUUCGGAUUGUAAAGCACUUUAAGUUGGGAGGAAGGGCAUUAACCUAAUACGUUAGUGUUUUGACGUUACCGACAGAAUAAGCACCGGCUAACUUCGUGCCAGCAGCCGCGGUAAUACGAAGGGUGCAAGCGUUAAUCGGAAUUACUGGGCGUAAAGCGCGCGUAGGUGGUUUUGUAAGUUGGAGGUGAAAUCCCCGGGCUCAACCUGGGAACUGCCUCCAAAACUGCAUGACUAGAGUACGGUAGAGGGUAGUGGAAUUUCCUGUGUAGCGGUGAAAUGCGUAGAUAUAGGAAGGAACACCAGUGGCGAAGGCGACUACCUGGACUGAUACUGACACUGAGGUGCGAAAGCGUGGGGAGCAAACAGGAUUAGAAACCCCAGUAGUCC
rnacentral:rRNA from 1 species